rfam:Chryseobacterium sp. MOF25P AB670_contig000087, whole genome shotgun sequence.
GAAACGUUAGCUCAAAGGAAGAGCGCUGACCCUCCAAGUCAGAGGUUGUGGGUUCAAGUCCCAUGCGUUUCG